rnacentral:rRNA from 1 species
CGAACGCUGGCGGCGUGCUUAACACAUGCAAGUCGAACGGAAAGGCCCUGCUUUUGUGGGGUGCUCGAGUGGCGAACGGGUGAGUAACACGUGAGUAACCUGCCCUUGACUUUGGGAUAACUUCAGGAAGCUGGGGCUAAUACCGGAUAGGAGCUCCUGCUGCAUGGUGGGGGUUGGAAAGUUUCGGCGGUUGGGGAUGGACUCGCGGCUUAUCAGCUUGUUGGUGGGGUAGUGGCUUACCAAGGCUUUGACGGGUAGCCGGCCUGAGAGGGUGACCGGCCACAUUGGGACUGAGAUACGGCCCAGACUCCUACGGGAGGCAGCAGUGGGGAAUAUUGCACAAUGGGCGGAAGCCUGAUGCAGCAACGCCGCGUGCGGGAUGACGGCCUUCGGGUUGUAAACCGCUUUCGCCUGUGACGAAGCGUGAGUGACGGUAAUGGGUAAAGAAGCACCGGCUAACUACGUG